AACGAACGCUGGCGGCAUGCCUAACACAUGCAAGUCGAACGGGAUCCUGGUUUCGGCCAGGUGAGAGUGGCGGACGGGUGAGUAACGCGUGGGAACCUGCCCAGUGGUGGGGAUAACUGCGGGAAACUGCAGCUAAUACCGCAUGAGCCCGAAGGGAAGAUUGAUCGCCAUUGGAGGGCCCGCGUUCGAUUAGGUAGUUGGUGAGGUAACGGCUCACCAAGCCUUCGAUCGAUAGCUGGUCUUGAGAGGAUGAUCAGCCACACUGGGACUGAGAUACGGCCC
rnacentral:rRNA from 1 species